rnacentral:rRNA from 1 species
UGGGGAAUCUUCCGCAAUGGACGAAAGUCUGACGGAGCAACGCCGCGUGAGUGAAGACGGCCUUCGGGUUGUAAAGCUCUGUGAUCCGGGACGAAAGAGCCUGAGGUAAAUAGCCUAAGGAAGUGACGGUACCGGAAAAGCAAGCCACGGCUAACUACGUGCCAGCAGCCGCGGUAAUACGUAGGUGGCAAGCGUUGUCCGGAAUUAUUGGGCGUAAAGCGCGCGCAGGCGGCUUACUAAGUCCAUCUUAAAAGUGCGGGGCUUAACCCCGUGAUGGGAUGGAAACUGGAAAGCUGGAGUAUCGGAGAGGAAAGUGGAAUUCCUAGUGUAGCGGUGAAAUGCGUAGAGAUUAGGAAGAACACCGGUGGCGAAGGCGACUUUCUGGACGAAAACUGACGCUGAGGCGCGAAAGCGUGGGGAGCAAACAGG